rnacentral:rRNA from 1 species
CGGGACGGGUGAGUAAUGUCUGGGAAACUGCCCGAUGGAGGGGGAUAACUACUGGAAACGGCAGCUAAUACCGCAUAACGUCGCAAGACCAAAGAGGGGGACCUUCGGGCCUCUUGCCAUCGGAUGUGCCCAGAUGGGAUUGGCUAGUAGGUGGGGUAACGGCUCACCUAGGCGACGAUCCCUAGCUGGUCUGAGAGGAUGACCAGCCACACUGGAACUGAGACACGGUCCAG